AAAGGGAGACCUAAUUCAGGUAUGGGACGAAAAAAAAUAAUCCCUUCCCAAAAUCCAUCCCCAAAAGGCCGAACGAAGGCUGAGGUGUUUUUCCUACUAUGUGCUGGCUUCAAACACCAGCUGCAUGAAGAACGGCGAUUAUCUCCUGUGGUGGUAACACCCCCCCCCUGAUGGUGAGGACGCUGCUGCUACUACUCCAUGAUGCACCUGCUGCGGUGGUGGAAAAAACGAAGAAAGGAAGAAUCACCUUCUUCUCUUAUAUAUAUAUGAGAGAAAGAAUGCUCUGACUAAAUACUCAAUACGAACCAUGCUUGCUGACUGGAUAGAGGUGAGUGAACCAACCAAAAAGAACGAACGCA
rnacentral:misc_RNA from 1 species